CCUGCAAAACGAAUCUAAGUUCCCCCUUAACCCUCUUUUUCCUCCCCAGACAAACCCAACCCAAAUGUGAUAGUUAAGGGCUAUUUAAAGGGGGUACAGCCCCUUUAAAAAAGGACACAACCUCCACCAGCGGAUAACCCCUGUACGCCCAACCCCGUGGGCCUUAAAGCAGCCACCCCCAAAGAUUGCGUCAAAGCUCCAUCAACCAAAAACCCCCAAAACCAAUGCGACUCCCUACACCCACAGCAGGCCAACCUAUAACAAUAGAUGAGUCAAUGCUAGAACGAGUAACCAGGACACUACGUCCCCCUAAGCGCCAGCCUGUAUACCAUUAACAGUAAAACCUCAAUAAUAACCACCCCCACCAUUGAACCCACCCUGUCAACCCAACUCAGGGGCGCACACUGGAGUGAUCAAAAUCUACAAAAGGAACUCGGCAAACCUAAGACCCGACUGUUUACCAAAAACAUAGCCUUCAGCCAAACAAGUAUUGAAGGUGAUGCCUGCCCA
rnacentral:rRNA from 1 species